CUAACACAUGCAAGUCGAACGAAGAAUGCGGAGCUUGCUCUGCAAACUUAGUGGCGAACGGGUGAGUAACGCGUGAGUAACCUGCCUUAAAGAGGGGGACAACAGUUGGAAACGACUGCUAAUACCGCAUAAGCCCACACUACCGCAUGGUAGAGAGGGAAAAGAUUUAUCGCUUUAAGAUGGACUCGCGUCUGAUUAGCUAGUUGGUGGGGUAAUGGCCUACCAAGGCGACGAUCAGUAGCCGGACUGAGAGGUUGAUCGGCCACAUUGGGACUGAGACACGGCCCAGACUCCUACGGGAGGCAGCAGUGGGGGAUAUUGCACAAUGGGGGAAACCCUGAUGCAGCGACGCCGCGUGGAGGAAGAAGGUUUUCGGAUCGUAAACUCCUGUUGUCAGGGACGAUAAUGACGGUACCUGACAAGAAAGUGACGGCUAACUACGUGCCAGCAGCCGCGGUAAAACGUAGGUCACAAGCGUUGUCCGGAAUUACUGGGUGUAAAGGGAGCGCAGGCGGGAAGAUAAGUUGGAAGUGAAAUCUAUGGGCUCAACCCAUAAACUGCUUUCAAAACUAUUUUUCUUGAGUGGUGCAGAGGUAGGCGGAAUUCCUAGUGUAGCGGUGGAAUGCGUAGAUAUUAGGAGGAACACCAGUGGCGAAGGCGGCUUACUGGGCACUAACUGACGCUGAGGCUCGAAAGCAUGGGUAGCAAACAGGAUUAGAUACCCUGGUAGUCCAUGCCGUAAACGAUGAUUACUAGGUGUUGGAGGAUUGACCCCUUCAGUGCCGCAGCUAACGCAAUAAGUAAUCCACCUGGGGAGUACGACCGCAAGGUUGAAACUCAAAGGAAUUGACGGGGGCCCGCACAAGCAGUGGAGUAUGUGGUUUAAUUCGACGCAACGCGAAGAACCUUACCAAGUCCUGACAUGC
rnacentral:rRNA from 1 species